rnacentral:rRNA from 1 species
UAGCAUAGCGAAGCGAACGAGGGGAACUGAAACAUCUAAGUACCCUUAGGAAAAGAAAUCAACCGAGAUUCCGAAAGUAGCGGCGAGCGAAAUUGGAACAGCCCUUAAGCUGUUUAGAAGUUAGUAGAAUGCUCUGGAAAGUGCAACGAUACAGGGUGAUAGUCCCGUAUAUGACAACUUCUUUACAGUGAAAACGAGUAGGUCGGGACACGAGAAAUCCUGACUGAAUAUGGGGGGACCAUCCUCCAAGGCUAAAUACUCCUAAUUGACCGAUAGUGAACCAGUACCGUGAGGGAAAGGCGAAAAGAACCCCUGUGAGGGGAGUGAAAUAGAACCUGAAACCGUGUACGUACAAGCAGUAGGAGCGGACUUAGUUCCGUGACUGCGUACCUUUUGUAUAAUGGGUCAACGACUUAAUUUUAGUAGCAAGGUUAACCGUUUAGGGGAGCCGUAGGGAAACCGAGUCUUAACUGGGCGAAUAGUUGCUAGGAUUAGACCCGAAACUUGGUGAUCUAGCCAUGAGCAGGUUGAAGGUUGAGUAACAUCAACUGGAGGACCGAACCCACUAAUGUUGAAAAAUUAGGGGAUGACUUGUGGCUGGGGGUGAAAGGCCAAUCAAACCAAGAGAUAGCUGGUUCUCCUCGAAAGCUAUUUAGGUAGCGCCUCAUGUAUCACUGUUGGGGGUAGAGCACUGUUUAGGCUAGGGGGUCAUCCCGACUUACCAACCCUAUGCAAACUCCGAAUACCAACAAGUGCAAUCAUGGGAGACACACGGCGGGUGCUAACGUCCGUCGUG